rnacentral:rRNA from 1 species
CGGGAGCGUUACUGACGCUUAAGCUCGAAAGCGCGGGUAUCGAACAGGAUUAGAUACCCUGGUAGUCCGCGCGGUAAACGAUGAAUGCCCGCUGUUUGCGUCUAACGUAAGCGGCCAAGUGAAAACGUUAAGCAUCCCACCUGGGGAGUACGCCGGCAACGGUGAAACUCAAAGGAAUUGACGGGGGCCCGCACAAGCGGAGGAACAUGUGGUUUAAUUCGAUGAUACGCGAGGAACCUUACCCGGGCUUGAAUUGCUGAGGAAAGAUCCAGAGAUGGUGAUGCCCUUCGGGGCCUCAGUGAAGGUGCUGCAUGGUUGUCGUCAGCUCGUGCCGUGAGGUGUCGGCUUAAGUGCCAUAACGAGCGCAACCCCUCUCUUCAGUUGCCAUCAGGCUAUGCUGGGCACUCUGGAGACACUGCCACCGCAAGGUGUGAGGAAGGUGGGGAUGACGUCAAAUCAGCACGGCCUUGACGUCCGGGGCUACCCACGUGUUACAAUGGGGGGCACAGAGAGCGGGGUGCGCGCAAGCUUGCCCAAAUCCUUAAAUCCCCCCACAGUUCGGACUGGGGUCUGCAACCCGACCCCACGAAGCUGGAUUCGC